rnacentral:rRNA from 1 species
UGCCAGCCGCCGCGGUAAUACGGAGGGGGCAAGCGUUGUUCGGAAUUACUGGGCGUAAAGUGCACGUAGGCGGACUGAUCAGUUGGGGGUGAAAUCCCGAGGCUUAACCUCGGAACUGCCUUCAAUACUGUCAGUCUUGAGAUCGGGAGAGGUGAGUGGAAUUCCUAGUGUAGAGGUGAAAUUCGUAGAUAUUAGGAAGAACACCAGUGGCGAAGGCGGCUCACUGGUCCGAUACUGACGCUGAGGUGCGAAAGCGUGGGGAGCGAACAGGAUUAGAUA